rnacentral:lncRNA from 1 species
UGCCAGCAUCCCGGAGCUGGCCCAGCCCAGGGCUGGAGGGGGAGCGCUCACCGGAAUGGCUUUGUGCUUCCCGGCUCCUGGCCGGGGACAAAACGGGAGGAGGAGAGCCGGGAAGUGUGUGAGUGUGUGUGUGUGUGUGUGUGUGUGUUUGUGUGGUGUGUGUGUUUGUGUGUGUGUGUGUCUGUGUGUGUGUCUGUGUGUGUCUGUGUGUGUGUCUGUGUGUGUUUGUGUGGUGUGUGUGUCUGUGUGUGUGUUUGUGUGUGUCUGUGUGUGUGUGUCUGUGUCUCUGUGUGCGUGUGUGUGUCUGUGUGUAUCUGUGUGUGUGUGUUUGUGUGUGGGUGUGGGUGUGUUUGUGUGUUUAUGUGUUUGUGUGGGUGUGUCUGUGUGUGUGUCUGUGUGUCUCUGUGUCUGUGUGUGUGUCUGUGUGUGUGUGUGUGUCUGUCUGUCUGUGUGUCCAACCUCCUCUCUGCCCGCCUGGCACGCGGCUCUUGCCUUUUCCUGCACAGGGGAUGGCGAGCUUGGAAAGCAAAUAGCGAGUGGGGCUUGUGUAGCUCAUCCUCCUUGGAGCUGGAAGUCCACAGGGACAUGGGGACACUCCUCGGACCCAGCCCUGUCACCUCACGCUGUGCACCCGCUGGAGGACAGCACCGAGGCUCCUCUCUGGCCACCACCCGCACCAGCAGCGGCACAGAGCGCUCGGAUCCCGGCCCGGGCUUGCCCUGCAUCCCGCAGGAUGAAGGAUGCUGUGGGAGGCUCCUUCCAGCCGAGAUCCCCCGGGCUGUGCUCCCCUCCUCUGGCCUUGCCAUUAGCCUCUAACCAGGCGGAACGAAUGGGCAGGAGAGGCUGCGAUCCCGCCGCCAGAGCAUUACUCUUGUUAUUAAUAUUAUCGUUAUUAUCAUUAUUAUUCUCAGCCACUGAGAGCUGCAAGGGACCCAUGGGGUCAGCACCCUGGUCCAACUCUGAAAGCAUCCAAACCAUGGAAAGGUCCUGCCUGGCCCCAGCUGGGGGUCCCAGAUCACCCCCAGCCCCACCCGGGCACCCAGCUCUG